rnacentral:lncRNA from 10 species
CCUGCGUCAGCCUCCGGAGUAGCUGGGACCACAUGGGCCCGCCACCACGCCCGGCUAAUUUUUUGUAUUUUUAGUAGAGACGGGUUUCACCGUGUUAGCCAGGAUGGUCUCGAUCUCCUGGCCUCGUGAUUCGCCCGCCUCCGCCUCCCAAAGUGCUGGAAUUACAGGCGUGAGCCACCGCACCGGGCCACUUUUUUUUUUUUUAAUAAACUUUCCAUCGGGCUAAAUCCCAUUAAAUAACACAAUUAGCUUAUAUAAUGUGUUUAUUUUUUAUUAAAUAUGAAGUGUACAUUUUUUUUCUGGCGGUUUCCUAACUCUAAUGAAAUAUCCUACUUUGUAGCUAUUCUUUCUUUUUCUGCUUAAUAAUAAUUGGGAUCUUACAAAGGUGAAUCACGAGUGCCAGAUGGUGAUUGCAUAUACCACAGGACAUGCCCCUCAGAGGCAUCACCCCAAACUAGGAAAGUUUGAUUCCCCCAAACCUUAAUACACAAAAACUAGUUUUACUUUGUAAUACUGUUUGACCUAAAAAGUGAAUCAGAAGGAAAUUACAACAGUCAGCUUUGGAAUCCGGUGCCCCUGUGAAGGAGGCCCUCAGAUUAGCCUCCUCAGUCUUUUGUAACUGAAAGUUGAAUAAGGACGGAAGGGCUAAGAAAAAGGUAAAAACAGUGAGAGGCAGGCUUAACUAUUGGCUGCUAUGUAAGCUCACCAGCCCCCUUCAGGUUGCCCUAAGGACACUCUCCAAGUAUCUGCCAUUUGUGCUGGAAGCAGGCCACUGGAAGGCAAACUGUACCAAUGGGAUUAAUAGGAAAAAACCCCACAGUGCUUGCUCCCUCUGCCACAAGUUUGUCAUUGGAAUGGGUCACAGAAUACCAACACUUGAUAGCCUCAAGCUGAAGGGACUUUUGGCUCCAGCCUGUUCCCAGAUUAGACAUCUUCAUCAACAGGACAAAGCCAAGAUCAACUCUGGAAGCAGCAAGUAAAAUUAUAAGUUUACCUUUUGGGUUCAAGAGCUGCAUACUUUGUGUUCAUAUCCUUUUCUAAGCAGUUCCUCCCAAUCUUUUUGGGUAAUGGGAACAAAUGGCACUCACUCCCUCCAAAAGAAAAUAUUCACACCCCUUGGGGCAAAAAUAUACUUUUCAAGAAGGGUGACUGCUUAAUAUUUACCUGACCUCUAAAUUGUCUUUCUCUUUAAUAUCCCUAUUUCUCCUGUGUCAAUGAAAAAUCAAACUCUAAAAUAUUGGAAUGACCAUGGCUUGUGACACAGCCCUCAGGAGGUUCUGAAAACAUGUGCCCAAUGUGGUCAGGGUGCAGCUUGGUUUUAUACAUUUUAGGGAGACAUGAGACUUCAAUCAAAUACAUGUAAGAAAUACAUUGGUUUGGUCCGGAAACCUGGGACAACUCUGAGCAAGGGGGGCUUCAGCUUAUAGGUAGAUUUAAAAAUUGCAUGGUUGACAAUUUGUUGAGUUUAUCUAAAGACCUGGUGAUAGCAGCAAGAGACAGACAAAUGCCUAUGCACAUAGGGGUGACUCCCUGAUGAAUCCCCACCUCCAAUCUGAAGACAGUUUAAAGCCUGAAAGCCAAGCUAUAAGUCAAAUCUACAGACUGGACUGAGAACCUGACUUCCCAUUUGGCAUGCUUUCUUCUGAUUGAUCCCCACUUUUUACCUAUUUUACAUUUACCUACCCUUUCCUAAUUGGUUUUCUAUGCUGUUGUGCCCACCUUUGAGUGGUGUCUUCACUUAACCUUUUUUGCCUACUCACAAACCAAUCAUCAUACACUCCCCAUUCCAAGUCCAUAAAAAAACCCCAUAUCUAGCCACACUGAGAAAGAAACCCACCCAACUGGUGGGAAGGGGGGCCACCCAUUACAUCCCCUCUUUGCUUACAGCUCUUCAUCAUUCAAUAAAAUUCUUCUCCACCCAUCCUCACUCUUCUAAUUGUCAGUGCAAUCUCAUUCUUCUUGGAUGCAGGACAAGAGCUUGGAAACUGG